rnacentral:rRNA from 1 species
AUACGGAGGAUCCGAGCGUUAUCCGGAUUUAUUGGGUUUAAAGGGUGCGCAGGCGGCCAUUUAAGUCAGCGGUUAAAUCGUGGGGCUCAACCCCAUUCUGCCGUUGAUACUGGGUGGCUUGAUUGCGGUCGAGGUUGGCGGAAUUCGUUGUGUAGCGGUGAAAUGCAUAGAUAUGACGAAGAACACCGAUUGCGUAGGCAGCUGACCAGACCGCAAAUGACGCUCAUGCACGAAAGUGCGGGGAUCGAAUAGGAUUAGAUACCCUGGUAGUCCGCACAGUAAACGAUGAAUACUUGUUUUCGGCGAUAUAAUGUCGGAGGCAAAGCGAAAGCGAUAAGUAUUCCACCUGGGGAAUACGCCGGCAACGGUGAAACUCAAAUGAAUUGACGGGG